UGCAGUCAGUCAAAUUCAGCUUCCAUCCUUUCAUGGUGGGAGCUGGUCCAAAUGGCUGCCACAACAAGCUCUGCUGUUCAUGGGCCCUAUUCUCUGCAUUGGGACCUAGGGAUGAAGUUGACUGCAGACAAAA